rnacentral:rRNA from 1 species
UACGUAGGGGGCUAGCGUUGUCCGGAAUCAUUGGGCGUAAAGAGCGUGUAGGCGGCUCGGUAAGUCCGCUGUGAAAGUCGGGGGCUCAACCCUGGGAUGCCGGUGGAUACUGUCGGGCUCGAGUCCGGAAGAGGAGUGUGGAAUUCCUGGUGUAGCGGUGAAAUGCGUAGAUAUUGGGAGGAACACCAGUGGCGAAGGCGGCUCACUGGACCGGAACUGACGCUGAGGCGCGAAAGCGUGGGGAGCAAACAGG